UACGUAGGGUGCAAGCGUUGUCCGGAAUUAUUGGGCGUAAAGAGCUCGUAGGCGGCUUGUCGCGUCGACUGUGAAAACCCGCGGGCUCAACCGUGUGGUCUGCAGUCGAUACGGGCAGGCUAGAGUUCGGUAGGGGAGACUGGAAUUCCUGGUGUAGCGGUGAAAUGCGCAGAUAUCAGGAAGAACACCCGUGGCUAAGGCGGCUCUCUAGUACGGUACUGACGCUGAGACGCGAAAGCGUGGGGAGCGAACAGG
rnacentral:rRNA from 1 species